rnacentral:rRNA from 1 species
UGAGGAAUAUUGCACAAUGGGCGCAAGCCUGAUGCAGCGACGCCGCGUGUGGGAUGAAGGGGCUACGCCUCGUAAACCACUGUAGCCCGGGACGAAAAACGCCUUAGAGGCGUUAGACGGUACCGGGAAAGUAAGGGUCGGCUAACUUCGUGCCAGCAGCCGCGGUAAUACGAAGGGGGCUAGCGUUGUUCGGAAUUACUGGGCGUAAAGGGCGCGUAGGCGGCCUGUUAAGUUAGGAGUGAAAGCCCCGGGCUCAACCUGGGAAUUGCUCUUAAUACUGGCAGGCUUGAGUUCCGGAGAGGAUGGUGGAAUUCCCAGUGUAGAGGUGAAAUUCGUAGAUAUUGGGAAGAACACCGGUGGCGAAGGCGGCCAUCUGGACGGACACUGACGCUGAGGCGCGAAAGCGUGGGGAGCAAACA